CCUACGGGUGGCAGCAGUGAGGAAUAUUGGUCAAUGGGCGGAAGCCUGAACCAGCCAAGUAGCGUGCAGGAUGACGGCCCUACGGGUUGUAAACUGCUUUUAUACGGGAAUAACCCGCCUUACGUGUAGGGCUUUGCAUGUACCGUAUGAAUAAGGACCGGCUAAUUCCGUGCCAGCAGCCGCGGUAAUACGGAGGGUCCGGGCGUUAUCCGGAUUUAUUGGGUUUAAAGGGUGCGUAGGCGGCAUGUCAAGCUUGCUGUGAAAUGUCGGGGCUCAACCCGGGCCUUGCAGCGAGUACUGGCGGGCUUGAGUACGCGGAAGGCAGGCGGAA
rnacentral:rRNA from 1 species